AGAAAUCUCAGCAUCUACUUCAACACAGCAAGCUUCCAGAAACAAUAUAGUCAGUGGAAAUGUCAAUCCAUCGCCUCCUAUAUUGUCGCGAUGAGGCCACACUCAGAGCUAUCAAAAUUGAGAUACCUUCCUCCAGAUAAUUGCCUUCCAAAAAACUCUUGUCGUCCUGGUGUUUCUCCUGCUGAUUGUUAACACUGAGUUUUCCAAAGCCCGAGGGGUCAGACGACUUGAUAUCAGAUUCAACAGUAAUGCAGAGGGAAUUUCUUCACAGACAGCUGCACCAUAGACCCUGAAAGUGACAUCAGGAAUAUCUUCUCCGCAAGUUACAGUGAGCAUCUGGGUUAAAACUGAUCAACAGCACAAGGAAAAUAUGUGCGAAAGUCUGAGAUGCAUAUUCCCACAUAGCUGUCCAGAACACAGCAGGUAACCGUUUGGUAAGUAAAGAUCUGUUAAGAGCUCGUAAGAACAAUGCAUUCCAGUCAUCCACAACUCUCUGAGUCAAAAGCCUACCUCUCAUGUGCCCCUUGAACCCAUGCCUUCUCACUCUAGAUGCCUGCCCUUUGGUAUUUGACAUUUCAACCACGGGAAACAGAUACUCCCUGUCUAAUCUAUCUGUGCCUCUUUUAAUCUUAUAAACUUUUAUCUGAUCCCGCCUCAGUCUCUGGUGUUCCAGAGAAAACAUUUCAGCUUCCUUUCCAAUUGUAUCCAGUCUCAAUUGUAAGCCAAGCUGAUGCUGAGGAAAUACACCUCCAGAAAUAUGAUUUUGAUUUCUGCAAUGAGUAUGUGUGUGUAUGGCAAAUAUCCAUCAGCGUUUCCUGGUGAAUGAUUCAGAGCACACGACUAAUGAUAAGAGGAUGUUCAUCAUGACAUUGGAGUUGUUUCCUUCUGUGUAAUAAAGUACUUCUAUUUGCUGCAUCCGACUACCACUUCUGAGCUGUUAUAAUUUGGGAAUGAAAAAUGCUAAAAGUCCAAGUGCAACUAUUUUAUUUAUAUUUUCUGCCAAUUACACUACUGACAGUUAGGGCAGAAAUAAAUGUCUUCCUUCUCUGGCCGUGGUCAGGGCUUUCUUCACCAUGUCAGUAGCUUCCUCUUGGGUUUCAGUGCAGUCCAGUACACAUCCCACGUGGAGACUGAGGAGAAGCAUUACACUCAGAUCUAGAAUAAUUCUUCAUUGCUGUUUCUGGAGCAGUUUGGUCUUACCAGUCAGAGUUGUUAUUCCUUGGCUGAACGCCCAGACCCGUGGACCUCUCUUAGCCUGGCCUCUACUUAUUGACCUAUUUGG